rnacentral:rRNA from 1 species
AUGACGGAACCGGUGAAGCUCAUCGGCGCCUUCGGCAGUCCGUUCGUCCACCGUGCCAAGGUCGCCCUGCACCUCAAGGGAGUCGCCUACGAGCUCAUUACGGAAGACCUCUCCAACAAGAGCGAGCUGCUGCUCCGCCACAACCCCGUCCACCACAGGGUGCCCGUGCUCCUCCACGGCGACAAGCCCAUCUGCGAGUCGCUGGUCAUCGUUGAGUACAUCGACGAGGCCUUUGAUGGCCCGCCGCUCCUGUCAGCAGACCCCGGCGAGAGGGCCGAGGCCCGCUUCUGGGCCAAGUUCUUUGCGGAAAAGUGCCUGAUGUCGGUGUGGCUGGCGCUGUGGACGGAGGGCGAGACACGGAAGCUUCUCAUGGAAGAUGCUAAGGAACACUUGAUGAUAGUGGAGACGCAACUCAAGGAGAAGAGAUUCUUCGGUGGCGCUGCUAUCGGCCUCGCCGACAUCGCCGGCGCCAGCGUUCUGUCCCACUGGGCGGGCGUGCUGCAAGAGGUUGCUGGGAUAACCGUCAUGAGUGAUGACGAGUAUCCUGCUAUCCACCGGUGGAUGGAGGACUACAACGCCGACGAAGUUGUCAUGGAGUGCCUGCCAGAUCGGGAGCAGCUUGUGUCCCACUUCACUGCUAUCAGAGGAAAGUGCAUCGCCGCGGGGAAGUCCAUGCUACCCAAUUAUGUAGCCAGCAAAUAG